UUUGGAACUGGUGCACUCCAGAAAUAAUAGUGAGGAGUUAAAAAUGCUAUCCAAGAAGACUCUGCAACAGGCAGCUACCUAGAGAGGCUGCAAUCUUCAUUAAUACAAAAAGGAAUAGCGUUUCUUAAAAUAUCAGAAAGACUAGAAGGUGACUAUCCUUUGUAUCUGAUGCAAGCAAUUACGUGUAUUAUUUUGAUGGAGCAGCUUUGACAAGCUCCUCAGAUGGUUUAAACAGAAUCGUUAUAUGCACAUCUGACUCUGUUACUGUUAAGAGGCUCAGUUGAUUUAUUAGUGCAGUAUUGCCUUACACUUGGUUUAUUCUUUGGACAUGUUUCCGGAGGGUUUAGUUUCACAGUCUCUUGGGCAUGACAUUUUGUUGACUAGCCAUCAUCUAAACUUGGCCAAGAGCAAUCAGAUGAGCUUUCCGCCCAAGCUCUGUAAGCUACAUCUGUUCUCGAUAAUUGACAACGCAGUAAUCCUCCCCCAAAACUCCUCCUUGGGGGCAUGUUGUAUCCUCACUUGCCCUGCAAAUUCAUCAGUUGCUUGGCUCUGCAGAUCAGUCACCUGCCUUGUGCAUUAUUGCAGCAAAACUUCCAAUGCUGCGGACUAGGAGAUAUGGUUGGAGAGGGAAAGAGAGAGGUGGCAUCAUGAGCAGCAGGGAAGCAAGGCUGUGAAUAUCAGGAAGCAUUUGGCAGUACUAAGAGGGUGCAGCUCAGAUAGCACAGGCCCCCAGCAGUUGCCCUGUUUUUCCCACUGAAGUGGAAGCAUCUGGAUUUCAGCUGGUCACAUUUUCUGUACAGUGUUCACGUCUCUCAAGAGGGCAUUAGAAGAAACUGCAGAGAUUCAGUCAUAUUUUCUGGUUUUUUCUACCAUGAGACUUAACCUAAGGAAGAGAAAAGGAAGUGGGUCACAGGGGAGCAGAAAAGGCUGUGACUCUUGCUGAGCACUGCUCAGCAAUAAUGAAAACAUCCCCAAAUUAUCAGCACUGUUUCCAGCACAAAUCCAAAGCACAGCCCCACAGCAGCUACUGGGAAGGAAACGAAGGGCCCCAGCCCAAACUGAGGUGUUUGCAUUGUCUCUUUCUACUUUUGUUCAUGGAUUUUUAUGUGACAGUGAGAUGGCUGAAAAGCAACCUGAUGCGGUGGCUACAUAAAUUUGGAAAACUCUUCUUGAAAACUCUGGUAUAACCCGUGUACUGUAGUGUGUCCAAAUGGAUUUAGGGUAUCAUAACGCUCCUAGAAAAACAAAGGGACAAAGAAGAUGGGAUUGCUAAGGGAGACAUUAGAUUUCAUUUCACACUGGUAAUAGUUUAGAGAUGUGUGCUGAGCAAAAUGUGAUUCAAUUCUGCGGCACUUUUCUUUUUUAUUGCUGCUAAGUGAUUUCAAUAUCCAGUCUAAAGUGAUAUUGAGAGUGUUCGAUAGAAGGGGGAUGAAAUCAGGGAGCGCUGGAGGCUCAGAGGAGGCCGCAAAUCUCAGGUUGACUCGCCGAAGCCUUUCGGAGCCGUCCCACCUGACCUUAACCCAUCUUAUUUAACCUGGAGGCUGCUGCUGAAAGCAGGUGAAGAUUGCUACACAAACAGGGAGGAAUACCUGUAGUCGACAGUCACAGACAUGGUACCGGGGUGCCACUUCUCAAAGCUAAGGAGCUCCUUUCUGCUUCUGAUGAACACGCAGCUAGAAAAGGGUAGCAAACAAGGCCUGUGGACACUCACGCUCAACUCAUUCCCAGGGAUUAGGAUUAAACCCAUGUGAAGUUACUUUGUUUAUUUGUAUUUUUAAUCUGCAUUGGAUACCCAUUAAUGCUCAGUUCAUUAGUGCAGCACAGCUCCCUGCUGAAUUGGGAUGAGUUAGCUGAGAAAAGGAAGAGAGAAGGAAGAGAAGAAUCAUGUUUGGCAGCAGCACACACUUACUUUGGCUU